rnacentral:lncRNA from 10 species
GCGCAUGCCUGUAAUCCCAGCUACUCUGGAGGUUAAGGCAGAAGAAUAGCCUGAACCCAGGAGGCAGACGUGGAAAUGAGCCAGGACCAUACAAAUGCACUCCAGCCUGGGUGACAGAGUGAGAUUCUGUCUCUAAAAAAAAAAAAAAAAAAUUGCUUUUGUAUGCAAAAUUUUGCUGUCCUGAAAAAAAGCAUUUUAGGAUACACUUGUUUAUUCUUGAUAAUGUCCUUAUUUUAAAAUGUAUAUAUGUAACAUUUAUAUUAAUCAGAACACAUAGAAUUGGUGUUUUAUUAGUGAUUACACUUUAAAACCAUCUUCAUAUAGAAUACGAAAAAGCAAAACAUGAUAUUUAUAAAUUUCUAUUUAGCUACAGACAAAUGAACAUUACUAUAUAAGCAUACUGUUUUGACUUGCUUUACUAAAUUAAAUGGAAGCUGACAGAAUUUAGUGUUUAAAAACUAAUUUGAAAUUGAGUUGGAAUUAUUGGGGAAAGUAAGUAUUUGAUAUUUGCCAGGCAUUUUUGUUGUUAGCAGCUGAAAAUUAUUCCAACUUUCUAAAAGAAGCUGGAAAUUUCAGGCAUUCUUUUUCUCUUAUAUCUAGAGUACAGGCACCUGCUCUUGACUUCUGUAGGGGUGGGGGGUUAUUGUACAACCUCAAUGUCCAGGGCUAGUGGCUGUGACAGUAUUGCAUGUGCCAGAUUCUGCAACACAAUCCAAAGAUGAGUUUACUGACUGUGUUAUCCACAAACCUUAAAUCUCUGUCUUUCUUGGUAAUCCUGUGAACUUUUUGACGUCGUUCAGUAAGUUAUGUGCUUUUUAAUUAGCUGGAUUCAGUUCUGAUUGCUUUUGUUAAGAAAUGUUCAAUAACUAUACUACAAAUCAGAUUUUCUUGACUUCGAUGCUAUUAAUAUGUUGGGAUAAACAAUUCUUUGUUGGGGGAUGGGAGUGGCUAUUUGUGCACAGUAGGAUUAGUAAGAUAUUUAUUGGUCUUUACCCACUAGAUGCUAGUAGAAUAUUCCCAUUUGUGACAACCAAAACUGUCUCAGGAAACAAAAUUGUUCCCACCUAAGUGAGAGCUACUGCUAUAGAUGGAUAGGUAGCAGAAAGAAAAAUUCUAUGAUAUAUACAUUGAGAUUCAUUGAAUAGAUCCCUAUUUCAACAAAUACAUAUGAAGAGAAAAAAACUUCAGAUUCCCAUGAAUGACGGUAAAAGUAAUUGAAGAUGGCUUGCAAAAUUUAAUAUAAAAUAUGUAUCCUAUUGAAAAAACGAGAGAAACACAUUUAUCUCUUAGAGUAAAACCAAAUCUGAAUUUCUCCAGUGAGUAGUUUAAGU